rfam:Salmo salar isolate Sally breed double haploid chromosome ssa10, whole genome shotgun sequence.
UGUAUUCACUACUGUAAGUUGCUCUGAAUAAGAGUGUCUGCUAAAUGAUGUAAA